GACGAACCGUGCGAACGUUAUUCGGAAUCACUGGGCUUAAAGCGCGUGUAGGCGGGCCGCCACGUCGGCUGCUGAAAUCCCCCGGCUCAACCGGGGAAGGGGCACCGAUACGAGCGGCCUGGAGGGGGGUAGGGGGGUCUGGAACUCCGGUGGAGCGGUGAAAUGCGCAGAUAUCAGGAGGAACACCAAUGGCGAAGGCAGCACUCUGGGACGUGAC
rnacentral:rRNA from 1 species